GAUGACGACGACGACGACAGAUUGCGCCCUGAAGUUGUCACUCGCCAAAUACAGUUUCUACGUGAAUACAUUCAGAAAGCUACCACAGACCAGCUGCAAAAGCUCUUGACAUUUUGGACUGGAUGGGAGGUGCCAUCCAAGAGCCUGCAGGUUAAAAUUUGGAGGGGGAGGUUUUUCAAGGCUUCCACCUGCAGCAGGACCCUAAUGCUUCCUGCUGACAUACUUACAAUGGGUGAUUUCACUUCUACUUUGCAUGCUUGUGCAAACACAGCAUCGACUGGAUUUGGACUUGUUUAAGUCCAGACACUUUCAGAAUAUGUCGUUUGUAUUCAUUAAUUCCCAUAUCUACAGUUCUUGUAUACAACUGUUGCUUCCUUGCAGAUAUGAGAUUUAUCAACCAACUUGUUUAAUUUAGGUUUUUGCUGUCUAUACAAGCAAUUUAAAAUCCUGUGGAAACACAGCAUAUACACAGGCACUUUCAGAAUAUGUGGUUUGUAUUCAUUAAUUCACAUAUCUACAGUUCUUGUAUACAACUGUUGCUUCCUUGUAGAUAUGGGAUUUAUGAAUCAACUUGUUUAAUUUAGGUUUUUGCUGUCUACACAGUUUGCAAUUUAAAAUCCUGUACAAAUACAGCAUAUACUGGAUUUGGACUCAGUUAAGUCUAGACACACAUUCUUACGCACUUCAUUUAUUACAUAUCUAGUUCUUUUUGUAGGCACCUGUUAGAAAUGUUGCCUUGCACAUAGAGAAGUAAUUCAAUUGACUCAUUUACAUUUGACAUUUUCAUUGUCUACCAUUAGUCAUUUAAAAUAAACUACCUCAAGAAAUAAAAUUUUACAAUAAAUCUCAUUCUUCCAAA